AUCCUGGCUCAGGACGAACGCUGGCGGCGUGCCUAACACAUGCAAGUCGAACGGAGAUACGCGCUGAAUGGAUGGAGCUUGCUUUUGAAAUUCUUGUGUAUCUUAGUGGCGGACGGGUGAGUAACGCGUGAGCAACCUGCCUUUCAGAGGGGGAUAACGUUUGGAAACGAACGCUAAUACCGCAUGAGACCACGGUACUGCAUAGUACAGUGGCCAAAGGAGCAAUCCGCUGAAAGAUGGGCUCGCGUCCGAUUAGAUAGUUGGCGGGGUAACGGCCCACCAAGUCGACGAUCGGUAGCCGGACUGAGAGGUUGAACGGCCACAUUGGGACUGAGACACGGCCCAGACUCCUACGGGAGGCAGCAGUGAGGGAUAUUGGUCAAUGGGGGAAACCCUGAACCAGCAACGCCGCGUGAGGGGAGACGGUUUUCGGAUUGUAAACCUCUGUCCUCUGUGAAGAUAAUGACGGUAGCAGAGGAGGAAGCUCCGGCUAACUACGUGCCAGCAGCCGCGGUAAUACGUAGGGAGCG
rnacentral:rRNA from 1 species